ACGGGAGGCAGCAGUGGGGAAUAUUGGACAGUGGGGGAAACCCUGAUCCAGCGACGCCGCGUGAGUGAAGAAGUAUUUCGGUAUGUAAAGCUCUAUCAGCAAGGAAGAAAAUGACGGUACUUGACUAAGAAGCCACGGCUAACUACGUGCCAGCAGCCGCGGUAAUACGUAGGUGGCAAGCGUUAUCCGGAUUUACUGGGUGUAAAGGGCGCGUAGGCGGGGAAGCAAGUCAGAUGUGAAAUCCAUGGGCUCAACCCAUGAACUGCAUUUGAAACUGUUUCUCUUGAGUGCUGGAGAGGCAGAUGGAAUUCCUAGUGUAGCGGUGAAAUGCGUAGAUAUUAGGAAGAACACCAGUGGCGAAGGCGAUCUACUGGACAGUAACUGACGCUGAGGCGCGAAAGCGUGGGGAGCAAACAGGAUUAGAUACCCUGGUA
rnacentral:rRNA from 1 species